rnacentral:lncRNA from 1 species
CAAAAAUCAAGAAAUCAAGAUUUGUGGUCUUCAGACGGGCCGCGUAAAGAUUCAGCAUAGUCUUACGCGGGCCACGUCAAUGUGGAGUUGACCGGAUAAGCGUCUAGAUCCACGUGUAACCCACGUGGCACACCUACUCAUGACCCAGCAAGCCUACACGUAGACUAGACCUCCUCGCGGGCCGCGUAAGGUUGGUCUUAGGGUUCACGCGAGCCGCGACAACCCCAGAAAUCAGCUAUAAAUAGUUUGGUCAUGAGCAGUUCGUCUGUGUUCGACAAAUUCUCUCAAAAUAAAGAUUUACUGCAUAAAAUCAUAUUUUCCAUUAAGGAGGCGCUGCCACGAUACAGGAUGAUGAGCUGAACAGAGAAAAAGCCAGGAUUUGAUUUCAAAGGCGAUAACUAAUUCCAGACAGAAAAUCUCGGCUUGAUGAAAGGGGGAGUCUGACGAGAUUAGAGCUUGAGAAAGAUCCAGGUACAUUAUUCCAGGAGAAUUCCUGAAGAAGGCCGAUCAAGAUUGAAGAGUCGUCAUGUUGAAGACUCUCACUGAAGAUUCUGUCAACAUUCAAGGGGGAGUCUGUUGGUGCAGUUGUCUGUCGACUUCAUCUUCGUUCGAGUCUUGUUCUAGAUAAGAUAAAUCAUGACACGGAAAAUGAGGAAAUAUGUGUUUAUGGGUAAUUCCGCUUGAAAUGACACAUGGUCAUUUCAAGCGAAAUCAAGUUGGUAUUUCCGCUUGAGUGGUGAUUUCACUUGAACAAGUGAUUCCGCUUGAGCAUGUUCAAGCGAAAUCACAUGCCUAUAAAUACCUCCUCAAGCGAAAUUAGUGUUAAUCUUCUUGUUUCCGAUGCCGAAGUGCUGUCGAAGUGUCUCCAAGUCUGUAAACGUGUUCUAAUCAAUACAAGAGACAGUUAAUAGU